CUCCUCGACCUAAAGUGGAGUGGAGGGACAGUUCUGGAAACAUCCUUCAUGCUAAAGAAGCACAGGUCACAGAAAGAGGAGGCAGCUACGACAUCAUCCUCCAAACCACUGUGACCAAGACCGACCACUACAGCUGUGUGGUCACACAGGACCAGAUCAAACACCACACUGAGGCAGAGACCUACGUUCACAUCAACGUUUCAGGUUUCUCUGCUGGAUAUGUCGUUACUGCUGUCGUGCUGCUGUCGUUGUGGCAGUUGUUAUCACUCUUAUCGUUGUUGCUGCUCUGCUUUACAUCAAACAUCGCUUAACACAAAAUUCCAACAAAGACGAGGAGAAAGGUGAACCCAUAAAAGACCGCACUGAAUCCGACCUUCUAGCUGAAUGAAGUCAGGUAGACUCACGUCGUGUUCCUUCAAACCUCUGACUCUGGAACUCCAAAGUUAUUGAAGCUAAUCUGCCUUAAUCCCAACAUGAAGAUGAUUUCAUCUGUUUGACCAUCAUGAUGUCAUACUUGAAAACAGCUGAGUGAGGGAUCAAAUCCAACCAGGUGUUUGUUCUCACAUUUUAAUGAACGCCGUGGAGAUCGGGCUUUUUCCAAUCAGAGCCCGUCGACUUUGGAACGACCUGAGGAGCAUGUUCAUGACACAUCCUUACACCUCUAACGUUUACUCUGCUUUAAAUACACUGCAGCUUUAAUGCAUGAUCAUUUCAUUAAUAUCAUCUGUGAAUGGAAUCCAGGGUUUAAAACAUAAAGGUCUCCCUGUGAACAUCCCAGAGAGCCUCUGACUGAGGAUUUAAAGAAACACUUUGAAAAACAGGAUUGAUGUGAGAAAGUGUGAAAUAGAAGUCCCUGUUUGUGUUUGCUCUCCUGUUGAUCCAGUGUGUGAAUGAAGAAAUGAGAGCAAAGGCGCUUUACGACUGACGGAGAAUCAAAGCCUCAGUACUUCACUGAACUACAGCUGCUGUUUGACUGUAAAUACAUGAGAUUCUGUUGCUGCUACACUGAGAUAUAAUGAGACUUUAAGAUGUGGGACGAGGAUGUAUCUCUUCUUUAGACUUUAUAAAGCCGAGUGUGUCAGGUAGAGACAAACACAGAGCUGAAGUAUGCUCCUAAACGUUUCUUUAUGCUGCUGAUGAAUGACGCUCUGAUGGUUACAACGUGAUAUCAGGCUGUGCUUCAUCAUUCACAUCCACCUGCUGGAAUAAAACAUGAUCAAUGUUA